AGUGAGCGCGGAUGAGCUCACAUUUAAAAUCUCGGCUGGUUUACUAGUCCGAAUUGUAGUUUAUAGAAGCGUUUUCGGUGGCAGCCUGGGUAUAAAUCCUUUGGAAUAGGGUAUCAUAGAGGGUGAGAAUCCCGUCUUUGACUCAGUGCAUGCUACUAUGUGAUACGUUUUCAAAGAGUCGAGUUGUUUGGGAAUGCAGCUCAAAAUGGGUGGUAAAUUUCAUCUAAAGCUAAAUAUUGGCGAGAGACCGAUAGCGAACAAGUACCGUGAGGGAAAGAUGAAAAGAACUUUGAAAAGAGAGUUAAACAGUGCGUGAAAUUGUUGAAAGGGAAACGUUUGACACCAGUUAUGCGGGUGGAAAAUCAGUCUUUUGCAAUGGGGAGUUGUGGGCGUUCAGACCGCAAGGCUGGCGUUUGCUUCAUCUUUGUUGUAAGUGAUGCACUUUUUCAUUUGCAGGUCAACAUCAGUUUGCUUUGCUGGACAAAACCCCAAGGGAAGGUGGCAGCUUAGGCUGUGUUAUAGCCCUGGGGCGAUACAGUGGAGUGGACUGAGGUUUCGCAGUGUGUGCUCUCGGGCAAGGCUGACUGGGUGCUAUGGGAUCGUUCGGCGUACAAUGCAUGCAUUUUGCGUCGUGUCUUUUUCAUACUCGCUCAACUCGGCUCUUCCACAC
rnacentral:rRNA from 1 species